AUUUCUUUGCUCUGGCAGGUGGAGAUGCGGUUGAUAUUUGGCAACAUCCGGAGCCGUUUCCAGGUCUCCAGCAGGAGCUGGAGGACGUAGCGUGAGUGCAGCUGCUACUGGGAGACAGACUUGUCAGCAAGAAGGGUUUCAGACAAUGCAACAAGUAUGAAAUAGCGACUGAACCGCAGCCCAUUAAGACUAAGACACGUGCUGUACUGCUAUGCACCUACCUUCUUGUUCCUGAAGGCCUCCACCAGUCCGACCGUCUGCUCCACUGUCAGAGGGAAGGUGAGAUGAGGUCCUGAGUAAAUCUCCGGCACCUCGAUGUUCUUGUAGCAGAAGUACCUCUCCCACUCUGCAUCCUGACAGACCUCGUUCUCUCUGAAGAUGUGCGAGAUCAGAUUUCCUGGAAGACGAUGAUGGCGGUUCAGUUCAGAGAUUUGUUUUUACACAGUUAAUUCCUGAGGAACACGGCUGAAAGGUGAGAUCUUACGUUCAUUGCUUGAUGGCGUGAAGUUGUCCAUGAGGUAGCCGAGGAAAUUGUAGAGCUGCACAGGAGAGAGAGGAAAGAUGAGAGUUGAGCUUGUAGUUUGAUUAUUAUUCUAAAGCAGAGAAUUACACUAGUUCAUCUCUGGUAGAUCCUCACCUUUAUCUGAGCCUGUUCUCCAGAGUAUUCAAUGGACUGGAAGAUGUGCCAGGUGUAUCUCCGUCUCAUCUCCGUACGGGCUACGUACUGACGGUACCAUCGCUGGAUCAGGACUGCAGCUCUUAUAGCUGAAACACAGACAGCAGAGUGGAAAGUUGAACGUGGGUUGGCAGCAGCAGGAGAGCUGAAGCUGGAGGGCGUUCAGCUUUGUGCCCUUUUAAUCUCGUUAUCUGCUGGUUCACUCCUAACCUCUAUGAUUGGCCUAAAUCCUGGAGCAGAGGACUUAUUUUUGCCCGAAUUCUAUGAAGGCUUACAUUAAGCAACACAUGAAACAUGAAACCAAUGAGGCAGGAAAUAUGUUCACGGCCUGAAGUUAUUUUUGAUGAAGUGGAAAGAAUUAAAACAUGGAAACUGGAUUUUUAAAUGUCCUCAUGUUGUUUUGGGAAAAUAAAUGAUGCCUAAAUUACUUUUACAAUUUACAAAACCCCAUAAAAGAUUGACCAUUUAAAUUUGAACAUGGUAGACUUUAUUAAAAUGUGUUUGCAUCCAACUUCUGUGUUUCACAGUGCUGGUUUUGGCCUUCUUAAAAGAACAGAUGGAUGGCUUGUUAAAUAUCUUUACAUGUGACGUAAAGAUAUUUAACAACAGGCCAAAGUCAUCCAGUCUGACAGGAUUUUCCAAACCAAAAGAAUAGUACUACAAUGAAGCAGUGGGCUAAAAUAAAGAAUAAGUGUCUCAAACGAUUCUUUGAACCUGGUCUGGAACAUUUUGAUGUUUCAGACUUUCCUCUGAUCUAAAUUUCCUGCCUUUGACUUUGCUUGUGGAUUAAUUUACCUACUGAAGAAAUCUAAAUAAGUAACACUAGUAUAUGAGUCGUUUACUUACGUGGUCACCUCCUCUAUCCAGUCACCAGUUCCCAGGUUGUUUGGCUGUCAGUGCUGCGUGUCAGCAAGUAUUCAAGCAGCCAUUUGCUCUGUUUCAUCCUCCACCAGUCCACCAGGAUCAGGUCAAGAACCGCAGGAUGUUGAUCAGACCAGUCAUCAGAGGUAGAUGAACGACAGCAGCACCCAGUAUCUCACCACAUAGGCCUCAUGUAUGAAGCUGUCCCCACUGUGUUGCUCCCCUGGUCUGUGCUGACGCUGGUUUAGUCUUUAGUCCCUCGGUGUGAUCGCAUAAUCGAGGCACCAAGCCACAAGUGGAUUACUUUGAGCUAAUGACUUGAUGCGCCUAGACUGGUCUUUAUAUAGGAAGAUGGCAAAGUGCAGAGGUAAACAUAGGUAAGAAAGAGGAUGGCCUGCAUCUGUAUUUGGUUUGUUUAUUUGGAAGUGUUUUUGAUUACAGGUGCUUUUUUUGGAGACUUGUGAGAUUGCCUAAUGCCUAAUAACUUGACUAAUGUUGAGCCAAAUGAGAGCACCUCCAUGUUUAAGUGUAGCAGUAUCUUUGGUUAGAGGUCCCCAAGUGAAACUGUGCUGAGAGAAGCACAAAAUCUUCCCCACAAACAAAUUCUAGUCAGUUAGGUGGGUUUAUUUAUGAUGGUCUGGUUCUUAUUUUUUGUCAUCAGUUGUUUUAAUGUUUCUUUGUAAUUUCUCAGCUGAUUUCCCUGAGCGUUAAACAGAAAAAUAAGUGAUUAACAGUCACAAAAAAGCACAGUUAGUACUGGUGAUGUAAUUUAACCAUACAGCCUCAACAAAACUUAAAAUGUCAUCAGUGGUAGCCAGGGGGACAAAGGGUCCCAAGAUAAAUCUGAGGGACCUUUAACAGGAGAGGAAAGCUAUUCAGAUCUAUUAAGGAUCAGUAAAAGAUGCAUUAGCAGUUAAUAAAUCUUUUACUUAAAGCUUAUAACCCCUGUAUAAAUGGUGCAUUAUCAGAAAGUGCACAAAGUGGUACCAAAAUUUAUCAAAUAUUAGUCCUUAAAAUGAUAAAGACAAUGUUACAUAUGACAAAGUUACCACUGUCCAAAUGACUGUCCUUAUAUCUCCU